rnacentral:misc_RNA from 1 species
GUUGGUGAACCAGCGGAGGGAUCAUUAAAGAGUUGCAAAACUCCCUUAAACCAUCGUGAACCAUACCUCUGAACAGUUGCUUCGGCGGGCCGGCCCUCCCCCGGGAGGCGCCGCCCAAGGCCCGCCGGAGGUACCCAAACCAUUGUCUUUACAGGCCUCUCUGAGUGACACACUUAAUAAGUCAAAACUUUCAACAACGGAUCUCUUGGUUCUGGCAUCGAUGAAGAACGCAGCAUCUGACUGACUCGAC